rnacentral:rRNA from 1 species
GACAGAGGAUGCAAGCGUUGUCCGGAAUUAUUGGGCGUAAAGAGCUUGUAGGCGGUCUGUCGCGUCUGCUGUGAAAAUCCGGGGCUCAACCCCGGACUUGCAGUGGGUACGGGCAGACUAGAGUGUGGUAGGGGAGACUGGAAUUCCUGGUGUAGCGGUGAAAUGCGCAGAUAUCAGGAGGAACACCGAUGGCGAAGGCAGGUCUCUGGGCCACUACUGACGCUGAGAAGCGAAAGCAUGGGGAGCGAACAGG